GGGGUUGUGGCUCAGUGGUAGAGCGCUUGCUUCACACGUGUGAGGCAUUGGGUUUGAUUCUCAGCACUGCCU
rnacentral:tRNA from 1 species